rnacentral:snRNA from 1 species
GUGCUCACUUCAGCAGCACAUGUACUAAAAUUGGAAUGUUACAGAGAAGAUUAGCAUGGCCCCUGUGCAAGGAUGACACACAAAUUUAUGAAGUGUUACAUAUUUUU